GCCGCCUGCCCGCGCUGCACAAUCCCGGCUGUGUCUGGGGCCGGGGGGCCGGGGGGCUGGCAGAGGCACCUUGGCUCAGGCCCAGGGGCUGUGGGGGCUGGAGACGCCGGCCGGGAGCCCCCCGCCCCCCACUCGAGCCGCCGGCACGCGGGGAGGGGAAGGAUGCCGGGCUCUUCCCCGGGCCUGGCCCUUCCCACUGGCCUCCUUUCCCCCAGGGCGGGGGGGGCUCCGGACACAGCCGGGGGUUGCUGCCCCCCCACCCCGCCCCCGAGGGCCCCCCUUCCCUGCUUGGAGAGGAGGAGGAAGAGGAGGAGGAAGGCGGGGACCGGCUGAGUCCACAAGUUCUCAGUGGUGCCUGGCUCUUCUGUCCUCAGCUCCACAAAGCCGGCAGCUCCGCCCACCGUGCUGUCUGUCACAGGGCAGAAGCCCCCACAGGGUCACCUGGCCCAGCUCCCCUCCCUCCACGGGGCCACCCAUGUCCUCACUGAUAACCAUGGCCCGCAGGUGGAGGGCUCCCCCCACAUGAGCCUGCCGGUGCUGCUUUGUACACGAGACACUGGGAGGCAGACGCCAUAGCAGGUGUGUGGCAGGGCCGUGGCAGGUGCUGUGGCAGGUGUGUGGCAGGGCCAUGGCAGGUGUGUGGCAGGUAUGUGGCAGGGCUAUGGCAGGUGUGUGGCAGGUAUGUGGCAGGGCCAUGGCAGGUGCUGUGGUGGGUGCAUGGCAGGUAUGUGGCAGGGCCAUGGCAGACACUGUGGCAGGUCCGUGGCAGGUGCUGUGGCAGGUGCUGUGGCAGGUGCCGUGGCAGGUCCGUGGCAGGUCCGUGGCCGUGCUCGCCUUGCAGAUGCAGAGGCAACCCUCAGCAGGGUCUCGACUUGCCCACGGCCACACGGCCGGGCGACCGGGCCGUCCUCACGCCGGAGCUCCUGCUCAGAGCCAGAACCGGCAGGCGUGGCCUCCCCGGCGUCUGGGCUCCAGCUGCUGUGGCUUCUGCCUGGAAUUCUUUUAUUUUUUUAAAAUUCAGACAACAACCAUCCCUGAGUCCCCGCCCUGUGCCUGUCCGUGGUCUUAGUCCUGGAGAUGUGAGGGACACGGACAAUAAACAGGAGCCGGCUGACAGGCCCAGUGUGGGUCACCUCUGGCAGUUUCCACGGCAACCCUGAAGGCUGUGGGGGAAGAGCCCCGGGGACGGGUCCCGAGAGGAACUGAGACCUUCAGAGUCAUCCUCAGCAUCUUCUGGGCUCGGCAGGCGAGAGAAAGGGGCCUCAGGACCCCCAGCUCCCCGGGCCCUUGUCCUCGGGGGAGCCUGGCAGAAGGAUGGAAGCUUCCAGAACCCUCGCCUCUGGAGGCCAGGGGUGGCUGCACUGAUACCAGCUGCAAAUUUGCUCGUUCACUUAUCGGCUCCCCCAGAAACCUGCCCUGGACCCGUCACCCCGGGAGCUGGCCCCGUGUCGGAAAUGUCCGCGGUCCAGGCUUUUAAAUCACGGCAGCUCAGCAAGGUGCUUUUAGAAAGAGCGUUUACUGUUUCUGUGCGGCUUGUAAUCGUCAUGCAUGCUUAUUGGGGAUAAUUUAGGAAAUACGAACAAAUGCAAAUAAGAGACGCAAAUGCACAUGCCCCACCCUGAGACGGCUGAUGCAAACAUGCUGGUGAAUUUCCACCUAAUCUUUUCCUUCCCACCUCAUCCCUUCCUUCUUUUUCUUACCUUUGUGAUGAAAUAAUUCAAACAACAUGAGCGACAUAUGGGAAAACACAGCAAUGAUCCCUGUUUCCUUGCCCACCUGUAUUUUUAAUCUCCUCCCUUCCUCUCUGCUUUUAAUCCUCGUUCUUCUUUCUUGAGGAAAAUGGUGCCAGGGCUAAAGCCUGCUUUCCACCACCCCUCUGCCCGGGGCCAUGCCUUGGAGUGGAGUGAGACCUUCCUUGUCAGAUUUCCACACUUUUGCCCCGUAUGUGUGUAUCCCUGAACAAUAUAUGUAAUUGUUGUGUGUGAUCCACAUGUUAAGAAAAUGGUGUCAUAUGAUAUGUGCAUACUUGCAACUUUAUUUAUUUUUUUUUAUGCAACAUCAUGCUUUUUUGAGCUUUAUCCCUGUCGAGAUAAUCCAGUUCACUCAUUUCACUAGUGGGGUUAUGUUUUGUCUUGUGAAUAUGCUACAAUUGUUGUCCACGUUCCUGUGGAUGGACUUCACACUACAGCAAGAACCAACCUUGAGCAGAUCUCCCUGACCUGCACACUACAUUCCUCUUUGGCACUCGGAGGUGCAAUUACAGAGCAUAAUAGGGUGCCUGCACUCUCUCCCUUAUUUUAUUUUGCCAAAUUGUUUUUGAAGGUGGUUACAUGAGUUUUAAUUUCCACCAGCACCUUGUGAAUGCUUUCAUUUCCCCUCGACUACAACUGCCACUUGAUAUUGACAGAUUAAAAAAAUUUUUUUAGCCAAUCUGGUUGAUAUGCUCUGAUACAGAAUUGCAUCUCAUUGUUUUGAUUUGCAUUUUUUCUGAAUAUUAGCAGAAUCGAGCAGCAUUUCAUAUGCGUUGGUUCAUUAGAGUUUUAUCUCUUGUGAAUGUGACCAUUAAACUAUUUGUUUCUAAUUGCCUUGUAGGAGACUUUCAUUGACACGUC